rnacentral:rRNA from 1 species
AACGAACGCUGGCGGCAUGCCUAACACAUGCAAGUCGAACGAGACCUUCGGGUCUCGUGGCGCACGGGUGCGUAACGCGUGGGAACCUGCCCUUAGGUUCGGAAUAACUCCCCGAAAGGGGUGCUAAUACCGGAUAAUGUCUUCGGACCAAAGAUUUAUCGCCUUUGGAUGGGCCCGCGUUGGCUUAGCUAGUUGGUAGGGUAAAAGCCUACCAAGGCGACGAUACAUAGCUGGUCUGAGAGGAUGAUCAGCCACACUGGGACUGAGACACGGCCCAGACUCCUACGGGAGGCAGCAGUAGGGAAUAUUGGACAAUGGGCGAAAGCCUGAUCAAGCAAUGCCGCGUGAGUGAUGAAGGCCUUAGGGUUGUAAAGCUCUUUUAACCGGGAUGAUAAUGACAGUACCGGGAGAAUAAGCUCCGGCUAACUCCGUG